rnacentral:lncRNA from 1 species
UGAGAUUUUACUUGGAAGUAUGCGUGUGAAAUCCUAGAAUUUACCUUUUUAGUCCAAUUGUCUAGCCUUGGUAAGUGUAAGGAAUGAUCUUGGGCAUAAAUUUUGAGAGGGAACCCAAAUUUCCAUAUCCUCUUGUCACUACCUUGUGACGGUGUGCAUCCAUUUUGGCACCAUUUGAGCCUAAAACAUUUGUUGUAAACCAUAUCGAAACCACAUGAACCAAAUUUCCCCUAACUUCUCAC